AGUUCUUUACACAGUUCAAUUGGCGGAGAGACCAAUCUAGCGUUGUAAAUGUAAAACACGAAAAAUUGAUUAUGUGAUUUAUAUUUUAAAUCUAACAAUUGCCUAGUUACUAUACCUAAACAACGAAAUGGAAUUCUGAAAAUAAACUUGCAUGGCUAGUCGUGUUGAAUUUCGAAUCAUGAAGUCUCCGUCAGGAAUCUACAGUACGGACAAGGACGGAUUUCCACCAGUCAAUGGGUCUGACCAUCGAAAUUGGUUCAGCAACUUCAACACGAACAAGCGAAAUUCCAGUCUAAAUUCAUCAAUUUCGCCUUUUUAUUACAAACGUGUUGGGGUUCAGAAAAGAAUUAAUUUCGAUUUCUUUCGAUUCUAGGAUUGAUUAACACAUCCAAACUUGAAAAAAUGAAAUAAUCCUGCCAAACAUAUUGAAAGAAAAUCUGGUAAUGGAUUCGUACGUUUUUAUUCUGUUUUUUUUUUCCGUCAGCAUAGUUUACCUCAUUGUUCAGAGUUAAUCACCCGAGUUAAUACCCCGAGAAGGUGACUUCCCACAGGUGUGGCUCUAAGUUACGACAGUUGACUUUCUCAUGAGAUGGAAGGGGUGAUCCCAGAAAUUGUUUGCCUUAGCUAGGAUAGAACUAAGGGCAGUAUAAAAACAGUUUUCCGCUAUUUAGCACAAGAAGUUGCAUAAUACAUAUUAGUACAAAAUUUAAAAAAAAUUUUGCAUUGAAAACGCUUAUCUGCCAUCCGGUGAGUUAAAGAAGGUGUUUUUUAUUUAAUGCUGAAAUUGCUGUGUUAUAGGAAUCAUGAUAAGGCUGUCUGGUAAGGUGCUUUGGAAUUUCUACCAAUUUUCCAUCAUACAGGUACGAGUAUGUCAACCUAUAGUCUAGUGAUAGAAUAUUGAUUGACUUAUGAACUCGCGGAAAUUGCUAGGAAUUAAGACAAAGUAUAAGCCUCGGGUUUCUCAAAGGUAUUUGCAAUGAACUGAUACGCCUAUAUCAUGAGAAUAAUGCCGAUUAGAUAGCAGGUGCGACUAAUGCUAUAAAAGACCUAACUCGAAC